GACGAACGCUGGCGGCGUGCUUAACACAUGCAAGUCGAACGGUGACGAGGAGCUUGCUCCUCUGAUCAGUGGCGAACGGGUGAGUAACACGUGAGCAACCUGCCCCAGACUCUGGGAUAACAGUUGGAAACAGCUGCUAAUACCGGAUACGAGACGGAGAGGCAUCUCUACCGUCUGGAAAGUUUUUCGGUCUGGGAUGGACUCGCGGCCUAUCAGCUAGUUGGUGAGGUAAUGGCUCACCAAGGCGACGACGGGUAGCCGGCCUGAGAGGGCGACCGGCCACACUGGGACUGAGACACGGCCCAGACUCCUACGGGAGGCAGCAGUGGGGAAUAUUGCACAAUGGGCGAAAGCCUGAUGCAGCGACGCCGCGUGAGGGAUGACGGCCUCGGUUGUAACUCUUCAGCAGGAGAAGACGAAAGUGACGGUACCUCGCAGAAGAAGCACCGGCUAACUAACGUGCCAGCAGCGCGGUAAAGUAAC
rnacentral:rRNA from 1 species